CCUACGGGUGGCAGCAGUGAGGAAUAUUGGUCAAUGGACGAGAGUCUGAACCAGCCAAGUAGCGUGAAGGAUGACUGCCCUAUGGGUUGUAAACUUCUUUUAUAUGGGAAUAAAACGUUCCACGUGUGGGAUUUUGUAUGUACCAUAUGAAUAAGGAUCGGCUAACUCCGUGCCAGCAGCCGCGGUAAUACGGAGGAUCCGAGCGUUAUCCGGAUUUAUUGGGUUUAAAGGGAGCGUAGGUGGAUUGUUAAGUCAGUUGUGAAAGUUUGCGGCUCAACCGUAAAAUUGCAGUUGAAACUGGCAGUCUUGAGUACAGUAGAGGUGAGCGGAAUUCGUGGUGUAGCGGUGAAAUGCUUAGAUAUCACGAAGAACACCGAUUGCGAAGGCAGUUCACUGGACUGCAACUGACACUGAGGCUCGAAAGUGUGGGUAUCAAACAGGAUUAGAUACCCUGGUAGUC
rnacentral:rRNA from 1 species